UCGGGAAUUUUGGGCAAUGGGGGCAACCCUGACCCAGCAACGCCGCGUGAGGGAUGAAGGCCUUCGGGUCGUAAACCUCUGUCGGGAGGGAAGAAAGGCGCACGGGAUAAUACCCCGUGUACUUGACGGUACCUCCAAAGGAAGCGCCGGCUAACUCCGUGCCAGCAGCCGCGGUAAUACGGAGGGCGCAAGCGUUGUUCGGAAUCACUGGGCGUAAAGCGCGUGUAGGCGGCCUGGCAAGUCGGUUGUGAAAUCCCGGGGCCCAACCCCGGAACUGCAACCGAAACUGCCUGGCUCGAGUCCCGGAGAGGGUGGCGGAAUUUCCGGUGUAGAGGUGAAAUUCGUAGAUAUCGGAAGGAACACCAGUGGCGAAGGCGGCCACCUGGACGGUGACUGACGCUGAGACGCGAAAGCGUGGGGAGCAAACAGGAUUAGAUACCCCCGUAGUCC
rnacentral:rRNA from 1 species